UAGCUGGCUUCCCUGGCCAGACUGAGC
rnacentral:misc_RNA from 1 species